rnacentral:rRNA from 1 species
AGGACGAACGCUGGCGGCGUGCUUAACACAUGCAAGUCGAGCGAGGCCCUUCCUUCGGGAAGGUGCCCUAGCGGCGAACGGGUGAGUAACACGUGGGCAACCUGCCCCUAGCACUGGGAUAACUCCGGGAAACCGGGGCUAAUACCGGAUAUGACCUCGGAGGGCAUCCUCCUUGGUGUAAAGGAUUCUGGCUAGGGAUGGGCCCGCGGCCUAUCAGCUUGUUGGUGGGGUAAUGGCCUGCCAAGGCGACGACGGGUA